GUCACUUAUAGAUGGAUCCGCGCUGCAUUAGCUAGUUGGUAAGGUAACGGCUUACCAAGGCAACGAUGCAUAGCCGACCUGAGAGGGUGAUCGGCCACACUGGAACUGAGACACGGUCCAGACUCCUACGGGAGGCAGCAGUAGGGAAUCUUCCGCAAUGGGCGAAAGCCUGACGGAGCAACGCCGCGUGAGUGAUGAAGGUCUUCGGAUCGUAAAACUCUGUUAUUAGGGAAGAACAUAUGUGUAAGUAACUGUGCACAUCUUGACGGUACCUAAUCAGAAAGCCACGGCUAACUACGUGCCAGCAGCCGCGGUAAUACGUAGGUGGCAAGCGUUAUCCGGAAUUAUUGGGCGUAAAGCGCGCGUAGGCGGUUUUUUAAGUCUGAUGUGAAAGCCCACGGCUCAACCGUGGAGGGUCAUUGGAAACUGGAAAACUUGAGUGCAGAAGAGGAAAGUGGAAUUCCAUGUGUAGCGGUGAAAUGCGCAGAGAUAUGGAGGAACACCAGUGGCGAAGGCGACUUUCUGGUCUGUAACUGACGCUGAUGUGCGAAAGCGUGGGGAUCAAACAGGAUUAGAUACCCUGGUAGUCCACGCCGUAAACGAUGAGUGCUAAGUGUUAGGGGGUUUCCGCCCCUUAGUGCUGCAGCUAACGCAUUAAGCACUCCGCCUGGGGAGUACGACCGCAAGGUUGAAACUCAAAGGAAUUGACGGGGACCCGCACAAGCGGUGGAGCAUGUGGUUUAAUUCGAAGCAACGCGAAGAACCUUACCAAAUCUUGACAUCCUUUGACAACUCUAGAGAUAGAGCCUUCCCCUUCGGGGGACAAAGUGACAGGUGGUGCAUGGUUGUCGUCAGCUCGUGUCGUGAGAUGUUGGGUUAAGUCCCGCAACGAGCGCAACCCUUAAGCUUAGUUGCCAUCAUUAAGUUGGGCACUCUAAGUUGACUGCCGGUGACAAACCGGAGGAAGGUGGGGAUGACGUCAAAUCAUCAUGCCCCUUAUGAUUUGGGCUACACACGUGCUACAAUGGACAAUACAAAGGGCAGCGAAACCGCGAGGUCAAGCAAAUCCCAUAAAGUUGUUCUCAGUUCGGAUUGUAGUCUGCAACUCGACUACAUGAAGCUGGAAUCGCUAGUAAUCGUAGAUCAGCAUGCUACGGUGAAUACGUUCCCGGGUCUUGUACACACCGCCCGUCACACCACGAGAGUUUGUAACACCCGAAGCCGGUGGAGUAACCUUUUAGGAGCUAGCCGUCGAAGGUGGGACAAAUGAUUGGGGUGAAGUCGUAACAAGGUAGCCGUAUCGGAAGGUGCGGCUGGAUCACCUCCUUU
rnacentral:rRNA from 1 species